rnacentral:rRNA from 1 species
UACAGAGGGGGGCAAGCGUUGUUCGGAAUUACUGGGCGUAAAGGGCGCGUAGGCGGCCUGUUAAGUCGAACGUGAAAUCCCUGGGCUCAACCCAGGAACUGCGUCCGAUACUGGCAGGCUUGAAUUCGGGAGAGGGAUGCGGAAUUCCAGGUGUAGCGGUGAAAUGCGUAGAUAUCUGGAGGAACACCGGUGGCGAAGGCGGCAUCCUGGACCGGCAUUGACGCUGAUGAGCGAAAGCUAGGGGAGCAAACGGG